AUAUCAAUAAGCGGAGGAAAAGAAACUAACAAGGAUUCCCCUAGUAACUGCGAGUGAAGCGGGAUAAGCUCAAAUUUGAAAUCUGGCGGUUCCGCCGUCCGAGUUGUAUUCUGGAGAAGCGUCUUCCGCGCCGGACCGUGUACAAGUCCCUUGGAACAGGGCGUCGUAGAGGGUGAGAAUCCCGUCUUUGACACGGACCCCCGGUGCUAUGUGAUGCGCUCUCGAAGAGUCGAGUUGUUUGGGAAUGCAGCUCAAAAUGGGUGGUAAAUUCCAUCUAAAGCUAAAUAUUGGCGAGAGACCGAUAGCGCACAAGUA
rnacentral:rRNA from 1 species